UGGCUCAGACGGUAAAGCAUCUGCCUACGAUGCAGGAGACCCGGGUUCAAUCCCUGG
rnacentral:tRNA from 1 species